rnacentral:rRNA from 1 species
GACGAACGCUGUCGGCGUGCUUAACACAUGCAAGUCGAACGGAAAGGCCCUGCUUUUGUGGGGUGCUCGAGUGGCGAACGGGUGAGUAACACGUGAGUAACCUGCCCUUGACUUUGGGAUAACUUCAGGAAACUGGGGCUAAUACCGGAUAGGAGCUCCUGCUGCAUGGUGGGGGUUGGAAAGUUUCGGCGGUUGGGGAUGGACUCGCGGCUUAUCAGCUUGUUGGUGGGGUAGUGGCUUACCAAGGCUUUGACGGGUAGCCGGCCUGAGAGGGUGACCGGCCACAUUGGGACUGAGAUACGGCCCAGACUCCUACGGGAGGCAGCAGUGGGGAAUAUUGCACAAUGGGCGGAAGCCUGAUGCAGCAACGCCGCGUGCGGGAUGACGGCCUUCGGGUUGUAAACCGCUUUCGCCUGUGACGAAGCGUGAGUGACGGUAAUGGGUAAAGAAGCACCGGCUAACUACGUGCCAGCAGCCGCGGUGAUACGUAGGGUGCGAGCGUUGUCCGGAUUUAUUGGGCGUAAAGGGCUCGUAGGUGGUUGAUCGCGUCGGAAGUGUAAUCUUGGGGCUUAACCCUGAGCGUGCUUUCGAUACGGGUUGACUUGAGGAAGGUAGGGGAGAAUGGAAUUCCUGGUGGGGCGGUGGAAUGCGCAGAUAUCAGGAGGAACACCAGUGGCGAAGGCGGUUCUCUGGGCCUUUCCUGACGCUGAGGAGCGAAAGCGUGGGGAGCGAACAGGCUUAGAUACCCUGGUAGUCCACGCUGUAAACGGUGGGUACUAGGUGUGGGGUCCAUUCCACGGGUUCCGUGCCGUAGCUAACGCUUUAAGUACCCCGCCUGGGGAGUACGGCCGCAAGGCUAAAACUCAAAGGAAUUGACGGGGCCCCGCACAAGCGGCGGAGCAUGCGGAUUAAUUCGAUGCAACGCGUAGAACCUUACCUGGGUUUGACAUGGAUCGGGAGUGCUCAGAGAUGGGUGUGCCUCUUUUGGGGUCGGUUCACAGGUGGUGCAUGCCUGUCGUCAGCUCGUGUCGUGAGAUGUUGGGUUAAGUCCCGCAACGAGCGCAACCCUUGUUCACUGUUGCCAGCACGUUAUGGUGGGGACUCAGUGGAGACCGCCGGGGUCAACUCGGAGGAAGGUGGGGAUGACGUCAAGUCAUCAUGCCCCUUAUGUCCAGGGCUUCACGCAUGCUACAAUGGCUGGUACAGAGAGUGGCGAGCCUGUGAGGGUGAGCGAAUCUCGGAAAGCCGGUCUCAGUUCGGAUUGGGGUCUGCAACUCGACCUCAUGAAGUCGGAGUCGCUAGUAAUCGCAGAUCAGCAACGCUGCGGUGAAUACGUUCCCGGG